ensembl:lncRNA
CACUGGUUUACACUCAAGCAUAUUUAAAAGUUGUGCUGUUGCAGUUGCAAUGUUCUGCUCACAGACAGAAUACAAGAAUUGAUAGUGACACUACGACACUAAAAGAGUCAGGAAAGUGUACUAGUACUUGUCUCUAUUGUCAAAUAGCCUGUUUGGGCUUUACACCCUUAUAAACUCUUUUUCAGUUAAGCCACCCGCUUCCUCCUCCCAAAAGGAAGAGCGCUCUUGAAAGUGAGCCAUCUUGAAAGUGAGACAUCUUGAAAGUGAGCCAUCUUGAAAGUGAGCCAUCUUGAAAGUGAGCCAUCUUGAAAGUGAGACAUCUUGUGCAUGUUUGCCAGUCAGGCGCUUUUCCUUCUCCUUCUGCAGCUGCAGAAAUGACAGACAUCCAAACGGGGGGAAACUGCUAACACUAAUUUAAGUCAUCUGAUGCAUUCUGGCGAGACUCUAGAGUCCUGGUCACAUCCAACUGGGUAUUCUGGCUAGACUCUAGAGUCCUGGUCACAUCCAACUGGGUAUUCUGGCUAGACUCUAGAGUCCUGGUCACAUCCACCCAUCCUGCUGGGAAGCCUGGCACAGCCCAUACAUGGAACCCAUGUAGCUUAUGGGACCACUGGAUACGGUUUAAAACAUUUUAAAAUCAUUUUCUUAUGGGUGCACUAAUCUCAACAGACAUUUCAUUGUUCCUUUUUAGAUCUCGGUGAAGGACAGAAAAGAACGUUUUUUUUUCUGCUAGGCAGAAGGCAUAACCGAGCACACACUAUUCUAUUUCCUGUUUGUGGUGUUGAAUGUUGAGACACUGAGCAUCCAGAAAGUUCUACCAAACGAAGCAAUGAUUUCCAUUCUAUGAGUCCACAGAUUUUUACAUUACAAAUGCAAUGAAAACACUUACGUAGGCCUAAUGUUUUACCAAUAGGAGUCCUCUGAUAAAUCAUUAGCAUUGAAACUGCAACAGCCGUUUACCCCAGUGACUAGCCAACGGGACUUGGUUGAGCAGUAAAAACCCUUACUAUAGCUUAAAUAGGUCUUACUUACUUAGAUCAUUUUCACCUGUGUGAACGUCUCACCCUUGACGUCCUAGGAUGCAUGUGUGAAAGCAUUACUUUGAGCCUUCUCUGGACCUUGUUCUUCAGACAUUACCCAGAGGUCUAGUUUGAACAUGCAUAGUUGAUGCUGUGCCUCUAACUAAGGGGUCAUUUUUUUAUGUAAAAACAGGAGGAUCAGAUCUACAAAAUCAGUAGGAUUAACAUCUUCCAUUUCACCCCUUAGCAAGUGAAACACAUACGCUUUUAUGAUGAAAAGAUUUAAGGCUGUUUGCCAGGACCUGAUAGCCUUCUGCACAAAGACACCAGCCUGGGUGCCAGCACGAACUUAGCCCCGCCCACAACAUUUGAGGUCGGGAAGUUCGGUCUGGCAUUGAUCCGUUGGGGGAAAAAAACUAUCUCCGAUCAAAAAUUGGUUCGGACCAAUCGAAUUGUCAGGGCGGGCUUUAUACGAUGAUGGACAGAUGAUCAACAGUAACGUAAUCAACCACGUCACCAAAGAGCGCUUGGGUUGAAUUCGUUUUCAACAAACAUGGCUGCCGCUGGAGAGCUGAGAAGUUCUGUUUUAGAAGACAUCGACAGCGCAUUCAUUUUGAAAGAGGAACAGAGAAACGUGAUCAAGGCAUUUGUCGAUCGAAAAGAUGUUUUUGCCGUCCUUCCUACGGGAUUCGGUAAAAGUUUAAUUUAUCAGCUGGCCCUGGUCACAUACUACGUUGCUCUGAUUGGUUGUAGGUCUAUCCAAUUGAGCGAAGAGGCAUUUUUUUUCCUGGUUCGGUUGAAACACGCCCCAUAAUCACAGCCCAAUGGAGCGGUAUCAGACUCAUAUUCUGACUAGAAUUAUGAGUAUGACAACGUCAGGCUACCAAGUUUCUACUCUAGAUUCGUUUUGCCAAAUAUAAUAAGAAGAGCUUCAAAAUGAUUAUAUCCAACAGUUUGCCACCAUUUAUGCUUUCACCAAUUAGCCAUAUAUGCAGCUGGUAUUAAAAAAACAUCACAAGAUUGAUAGAAGGUCUCCUGAACCAUAACAGUUAGGUUUAGGGGGUGGGGGGUCGUGUUGGUCAGCUGCUGUCCAGUACAGGUCCUGAUUACAGGGACGUUUCUACUUUCUACCCCUAAUGUAAGGUCUUUACCUCAUCUGAAAUGCUGAAUGUCAUUAAGAGAGAAAAAAA